ensembl:lncRNA
CAAGGGUGGGCCAUCAGAGUGGCCCCCAGCAUCAGAGGGCGGGAGAGGAGCAGGGGGCUGCAGAGCGGCAGGGCCCCUCACUUCCCGCCCCGAGGAGGUGCUAUCCCAUACUCCAGGGGGCCCUCUUUUGGCCUCUCCAACUUCAGAUAACUACCCUGUCUCCUUCUACACGCCCCCCUGCAACCCUGUACUCCCUGCCCCCAGCUCGCUGCCACCGACAGGCCUGACCUCAUCCUGUGCCCCAAGAAAAUACCUUAGAAAUCCAUCUUAUUGCAGUAUAAUUUACACACAAUGGAUGACACCCAUUUCACUGUCCAGCUCCAGGAGUCCUGUACCAAUGUGUGUGCCUGUGUGAACCCUCUGCCUCCUCCUGUCCAUCUCCCCCACCUGGCCGCAGGCAGCUCGGCUGCUUUCUGUCACUGUCAUUACAUUUGCCGGGAAAGUGAAUCUAAAUAGGGGCAUGAACCACUGAAUGUGACAAGAUCUGAACACAGACUUUUCAUGGUUCCCAAGAGUGCCACCAGGGCAAGUAGCCAGCAUGUGGCAGUUGGCAGAACCAUGGCCGCCUGAGCUGGGAACCUCAGUCACCCAGGGUGCUGGGCACACAGGAUGCUGGCGGCUCUGUGCCUUGGGACACACUCAGGCGGAUGAGGCCCGGCCUGCGGAGGGGUGGGCCUGCCGAGGAAUGCCAGCGGCCGGCUGCGGGGCAGGGUCAGCGGGGGCGACCGCAGCAUGUUGCUAAGCUACGGGCACAAUGGACAUUCCGGCCACUAAGCAACCGAGGAGAAGCUUCUCAGCGGGGGGAGGACCGGGGGCCCAGGCCACCCCCAUCCCCUGCCCGGCGGCCUGGCAGGGACAUCAAGGUGCACUGGCUGCCCAGCUCCCCCUCCCAGCACCCUCUGUGGUCCAGGCCCACGAGCUGGGAGUCCAGGCAGAGGGUGGCCAGUGGGGGUGCCUGCACCUGGGCUGACCCAGCUCUCCGGGCCGGCCACCUCCCCCUUGCCUCUGCCUCCUCUGGUCACGCUUCCUGGCCUGUCCCCCAGGUCCGAGUGCAGGGCGCCCAGGGGGUCCUGGCCAGAGCUUAGAGCUUUUGGUGGGACCCUGGCCCUCCACUCCCUGCCCUGUCCCCAGCCCUUGUGUUCAGCACCCCCACCUCGAGCCCAGCCUGGGCGAGGCUGGCUCUGCUUGCGGCCACACCUGGCAGGGCCCCGAGCCCCCUGCGGCCGUCGCCAGUGUCCAGCCUGGCCUCUGUUUGUCUGGGACAAGAUGAGGGGUUUUGUUUUCUCCCUUGGGCUCCACUUCCUCCCUCCGUGGAGAGACUGCUAAGGAGCUCCAGGCCUGAGGGCUGCCAGCUGGCGGCUGGGGCAGCGGGCUCUGCGGGCAGGCGAGGGAGGUCUGAGCCAAUCCUUUGAGUCCCAUAGAUGGCGACGGAGCUCCUGGGUCCAGCCACCAGGGCUUUGCCCUCGCAGUGCCCCCUCUAGCACCUUCAGUCCCACUGGGCGGCCUCCACCCUACAGCCCUAAGUGACUGACAUCCCAGGACGGCAGCUAGCCUGUCUCUGAUCUAAUGGUGGUUUCCGGGGUCCCAGCUAAACUGCACAUUCCUUGCAGUCCAGGAACGUGUUUGGAUCCCCCCUGUGCUGGGCCCGACAGAGGGCAGGCGCUGGAUAAAUGCAGCUGCAGCGCCCACCAGGCAAUGUCGCCACCCUUUUGCGCUCUCGGGUUCCCCACUGCUGCUUUUCACAGCUUUUGUCACUCUGCUGUAUCUCCGCUGACCCCCACUGGGCUGGCUCCCUGGUCCCUGCACAGGAGAUGCCUAGUGCAGUCUGGAGGAGGUGACCCGCCUUCACCUCACCUUCAUGUGGGCAGUUGGGAAAAGCAGGAAGGCAGAAGAGGGGCAGGUUUCUCACAGCCCCACCCCUUGGGGGCUGGGUGGCUUUGGGCAAACUGACUUGCCCUCUCUGAGCCUCAGCCCACAUGCCCUAUGGAGUACGGUACCCACAGGAGCUCCCCAGCUGGGUUUGUGGGGUUUCCUUGAGAGCCAAUGGGGAAGUGCCAGGGGUGCCCAGGCCUGCCAGCCCCUCACCCCACCACACGCCACACACACGUAUGCACACAGACAAAUGCACAAAUACACCUGCCAGGCGUCAUGGGAUCCAGAGAGAUACUGGUUUCAGCAGCUGAGGGUGGUUGCUGGGCACUGACCCUGGGGAUGCAGAAGAGCAUCUUGUAGAUGAAGGAGUGAAUGGAUGGCUGAUGGCGGGACGCCCUGUCUGGAGGGGGAAUUGGGUCAGACCCACGGGACCCAGGGUUGGGGUAGGGCAGGGAGCUACUCGUCUGGAGCCUGUGCUCAGACACCCACAGCUGCCUGUCCCUGUGGGGAGACCGAAGCCCAGCACGUGCUCAGGCCCGAGGUCACACAGCAGACCCCGGCCUGGUUCGCUCCCCGGUGAGGUCAGGAAAACAUGGGGUUUUGAGGCAUGAUGUUGGGUGACAUCCACCCCCUGUGGGGACAAGGGCUUCCAGUCCCCAGGCCCUGGGUCCUCCACAAAGUGUUUUUACAGCCUUGCUGGCCCUUGGCCCUUCCUCCUCAGGGCACUGCACCAUACCUGAGAUGACCCCUCAGUGAGACCCUGCUGGGUCGUCGUAGCCCAGGGUGGCCAAAGGUGGCAGGGCCACAUGGACAUCACAGACAGAGCCCGGCUGGCACAGGGCACCCAGGCCCUAGGGCUGCCCCACGAAUGCCCCAUUUCUCCUCGGGCAGCUCGCUCAGCCUCCCUGGGCACUGGAGACACUUGUCCCCAUCCCCACAGCUCUGAGCGCACUAGGGCCCCAGGCCAGGUGGGCUUCUGCAGGUGGAGGCAGCCAGUCAGGAGCUGGCCCUGAAGGUCAGGAGGCAGGCACAGGUGAGCUAGUGCUGUCAGCAGAGCUUAGUGUCAGGUCCCGGGUCGUCUUCAAAGAAUCAUGGCCCUCCCCCCAACCCCCACUGAGUGGAGCCUGGCCCUGGAGUCCUGGCCAUGCUGAUGACAGAGGCCGAGAGGGUGGCCGGGCAUGUGAAGGGCACUGGCCCUCCUGAGGGCGCUGUCCCAUGAGGGGGUGUGUGGGCAGCUUGGGACUCUGUCCUCAAUGUUCCUGGCUGCCCCCUCCCACCCAGACACUGUGCUGCCUCGGGGGCCUCAGACUGAGGCCUUUGGUUGGGGACAUAGAGACCUUUGGGGCCUGUAGUCAUUCCAGCAGCACAGAGCCCUGAGAUUUCCAGGACUGGAAACUUCCAAAGCCCUUUCACAACCACUGGGUCUGCAGCCCCCAAAGAGAUGAGGAGGAGGUUACUCUGCUGAGCAUCUACUAGGUACUAGACAUUUCUGCACCCCCACCCCCACCCCCGUUUAUGGAUGAGGAAACUGAGUCUCCACGGGGCCAGGUUCAGCAUCCUUUGUUAUGGGAAGGCCAGGAGGCUUCCAGGGCAAUGAGCUCCCAAAGGCUGGGGCGCACGGCCCCUAGGAGCCUCAAAGGCCCUGCAGCCCCUCCCAGGAGCAGAGACUGAACAGGGCGAGGCGGGGGCGGGGUGUAAGUAGGCCAGUGCUUUGUGCUGCGUUGCUAUGGCGCUGCCAUUGCUGCUGUGCAGGCUUCCUCCUGGGCUCGUUCCCAGGACACCUCAAGGCAGCUACUAGGCAUCCCUCCCCAGCCCUGCCCAUGCCCCCUCCCCAGUCAGGGGCUGCUCCCAGUCUCUGAGCCCUCCUCUCUCCCCCAGGAUCCUUGCCCACUCUCAGGCUCGGGGAGGGGGGUGGGGCAGGGCGGAGGGGGGAUGGGACACAUAGCAGAGUAUGUCUGACCCACCCAGUCACACACACAGUGACACAUGCAUACACACAGCACAUGUAUGAAUGUACACGGGCUCACAGCACAUUCAUGCAUGCACACAGCACAUGCAUGCAUGCAAACAUGCUCACAACACGCAUGCACGCAUAUGCCUGUGCACACGCUUGUAGCAUACAGGAAUGCACACAUGUGCACACAGCACACAUGCACAGCCACGUGAGGCACUUGGUGAAGCUGCAGGAGCCACUGCAGUUUGAGGCCUCAGGGGCUUCACGCUCACCCCCAGGCGGAGCUGGAGGUGAGGCAGCAGUGGAGACCUCCAGCUCCAAGACCAGUCCCCUCCAGGCUGGGCCUCAGAGGCCUUGGCAAGGGGCCAGCCUUGCCUCAUCCCCUCACUGACUGCGGGAAGGAGGGGAAGGGGCUCUGCUGGCCUAGGAUUUUGGGGACAUGCUGGCCUAAAGGGAAGACAUGAGCGGCACUGAGUUCAGACGGGCCGAUCUCUGGGAGGCGGUGGGACCUGCUGGGCUCCCUCCCACACGAUGGCCCUGUGUGCGCCUCAUUGACCCCAUGAUGGAGCAGAUGUCACCACCCACUUCACAGUGGCCCAGAGACGCACUGGUGGGCAGCUGCCUUGGCCAAGGCCUCGGGUAGUCUCUGGGGCCUAGUGGGGCACAGAAAGGGGCCCCCGUUGUCCACUGAUGUCAAAGGGUGGAGUCUGGGUGUUGGAGGAGGGAGCUGACCCCAGGGUCUCUGAACUCUCACCAAUAAGGACCCCACUGAGGGUGGGCGGGAGAGGGGCAGAGGAGGUGAGUUUCCUAGGGAGGCCCCCUGGGGAGAGGCUGGGCUGCUCCUGGGGGAGCACACCCAGGUCUUCUUUGAGGGUCACAGCUGGGCACUUUGAUCCCGUCUCAGCCUCCCGUCUGACAAUACAGGGCUGGCCAGGGGUGCUCAAGCCCACCUGAGUCUGUGCAGGUGCUGGCUCCUGAGGAGCAGGAGAGGCCUGGGAAAUGGGACGGCUCCCUUACCAACAGGUGGGUCCCAGUGCGAUUCUGACUGCACCUGCCCAGGUGGCUGUGACCCCGUGUGCGCACCUGUCCUUUGGGGUAAGCGCUGCUGUGUGAGGCAGGCUCAGAGGGUGUUCUCGAAGGGCAGGGCCUGGCUCAGAGCAGCGGGGGAGUGGGUGCUGAGAGGCCCCACAAAGCUUCCUUGGGCCGGGGCUCAGUGGAGG